UGAAAUUGAACUGUGCUGGGUGCUUAUUAAA
rnacentral:piRNA from 1 species